UACGUAGGCAGCGAGCGUUGUUCGGAAUUACUGGGCGUAAAGAGUGUGUAGGCGGUGCUAUAAGUUCGGUGUGAAAUCUCCUGGCUCAACUGGGAGGGUGCGCCGGAAACUGUAGUGCUCGAACGUGGGAGAGGAAAGCGGAAUUCCUGGUGUAGCGGUGAAAUGCGUAGAUAUCAGGAGGAACACCUGCGGUGUAGACGGCUUUCUGGACCAUUGUUGACGCUGAGACACGAAAGCGUGGGUAGCAAACAGG
rnacentral:rRNA from 1 species